rnacentral:siRNA from 1 species
UUCCAAAGCGAUCACAAGAAUC